rnacentral:piRNA from 1 species
UGGAUUCCCACCCUGGCUGGACU